UACGUAGGGACCAAGCGUUGUUCGGAUUUACUGGGCGUAAAGGGCGCGUAGGCGGCGUGGUAAGUCACUUGUGAAAUCUCUGAGCUUAACUCAGAACGGUCAAGUGAUACUGCUGUGCUAGAGUGCGGAAGGGGCAAUCGGAAUUCUUGGUGUAGCGGUGAAAUGCGUAGAUAUCAAGAGGAACACCUGAGGUGAAGACGGGUUGCUGGGCCGACACUGACGCUGAGAGACGAAAGCUAGGGGAGCGAAUGGG
rnacentral:rRNA from 1 species